rnacentral:rRNA from 1 species
CCUACGGGUGGCAGCAGUGGGGAAUAUUGCGCAAUGGGCGAAAGCCUGACGCAGCGACGCCGCGUGAGGGAUGGAGGUCUUCGGAUCGUAAACCUCUGUCAGCAGGGAAGAACGGUCACUGUGCUAAUCAGCAGGGAAUUGACGGUACCUGCAACAGCAGCACCGGCUAACCCCGUGCCAGCAGCCGCGGUAAUACGGAGGGUGCGAGCGUUAAUCGGAAUUACGGGGCGUAACGCGCGCGUAGGCGGUAUGUCAAGUCAAGGGUGAAAUCCCCGCGUUCACCGUGGGAACUGCCUUUGAAACUGGCAAACUGGAGUGUGUGAGAGGAUAGUGGAAUUCCAGGUGUAGGAGUGAAAUCCGUAGAUAUCAGGCGGAACAUCAGUUGCGAAGGCGACUAUCUGGCACAUAACUGACGCUGAGGAGCGAAAGCGUGGGUAGCAAACAGGAUUAGAUACCCUUGUAGUC